ensembl:lncRNA
GCGGUAUCAACAGUAAGGUGUUUUAGGAGUUUUUCUUGCAAAUGGAAAAAAAAAACUACUACUUAAACAUGUUGAAACCAAGUUCCCAGAUUUUCAUAAUCAGAACCGUAAUCCAGAACCAUAAUCCACCACAGAAACUCCAUUAACACGGCAAGGAUGGAAAACAUUAAGACGUGUCUGGACGUUGAGCACAUUGCAUUGAACAAGCAUGGACAAGUUGUCAUCGGUACAACUAAUGAAAACAUCCGGUUGACUGAGUGCUAAGAAAUGCAAAUAUAUCUUUAUAGUUCAUAAGAUUUCAGUUUCUUACUGAUUAGUCAAUUUUCCACUGUGCAGUGAGUGCAUUUGCAGCAAAUCUGGAAGAGGGUAACAUGUACACGAGUGGACAUCACCCUGCAGGGUUUCAUGGACACUACAGGGACAUCUCCUUCAAAACCAAAGUGUGUGUGUGUGUGUGUGUGUGUGUGUGUGUGAUCAAUGACUUCACAUAACAUUUGUUUUUUUAUAUCAACUACGUCCUGGAUGUGAGUAAACCAGCCAGGGAGCUGAUAGUUAAAGAGGGAUCAGUUUGCCUUAUCCAGGAGAAUUUUUUGUUUUGGUCUGCAAAGGAACAUGCAUUUAUUUGUGGGACAUACCUGUUUGGAUGGCACAAAAUCAGACGGCGCAGUGCUUCUUGAUUCUACAUCAGAACACUGACUUAUUAUCGGCCAGCUCCUGCAUCAGCAUUACACGCAUGCUUCGUGGGGCUCAUGUGAACUGUGUAGUUAUGGUCGAAGAUUUACACAUUGGACAGAGGGGAGACCAACCUUGAAGGGAAAUGUCACGUCGGUCUUCCGGAUACCAAGGUAGAGGAAGUAUCCAGUCUCCACAGGAAGAGGUGUGGCCAGAAAGAAGUUUGCUGUUCCUCUUUUAUAGACAUACCCUAAAAAGGGCUUCUAUGAAGUCAUAAUAGACCACAUUUUUCAAUAAUUUGUGUCUUGCACAUUUCCACAGAAGAAUCACAAACCAGUCAAGACAUUCCAGGCAAGAAAGAAGGAACACAAUGGAAUGGGCACAGCUGAUACAACUUCGUACUGAUGUAGUUACCAUCAUGUCAUCACUGUGUAUGAACUGUGCUGAACACAGAUUUUUAGAAGAAAAUUUCAGCUUUGUGAGGAGUGCAUUGUCAUGAUUUAUAUUGAAAAAGGAUAGUUCCAUCCGUUUUCUUUAAAAGUUAGUUGGAUCGCAUUGAUUAAAGUACUGGAAUUAUAUGAAUUAUUUAUUUAUUUUUUUCAUAUUACAACUUUAAGCUUUUAUGAUCAUCAUGUGAUCAGUAAAACCUGGCUUUUUUAACAGUAGUUUGAAUAACAUAAGCUGAAGCAUUGAGAAAAAUAAAACAUGUUGAAAUGCAUUUUUUUAUUUUUUUAAUACUUUUUUUAAAUUACAAACAUAGAGAAAUGAACAACUGCAAAAAUAUGUAUUUGAUUUUGCUUUAAAUGUCCAUUGAAGUGUACAACCGUGGCAUCUACAGUACACUUCUCCAAUGUAGUGUAGAUGGAAGAGAUGUGUUUUUAGCCGUUUCUUGAAGAUGGACUCAGCUGCUGGGAUUGAGUUGGGCAGGUCAGUCCACCAGGAGGGAACAGUUAAUGUAAAAGUCAGUGAAAGUGAUUUUGUG